UACGUAGGGUGCGAGCGUUGUCCGGAAUUAUUGGGCGUAAAGAGCUCGUAGGCGGCCUGUCGCGUCGGUUGUGAAAGCCCGGGGCUUAACCCCGGGUCUGCAGUCGAUACGGGCAGGCUAGAGUUCGGUAGGGGAGAUCGGAAUUCCUGGUGUAGCGGUGAAAUGCGCAGAUAUCAGGAGGAACACCGGUGGCGAAGGCGGCAUCCUGGACCAUUACUGACGCUGAGGCGCGAAAGCUAGGGGAGCAAACGGG
rnacentral:rRNA from 1 species